UACGUAGGGUGCGAGCGUUGUCCGGAAUUACUGGGCGUAAAGGGCUCGUAGGCGGCCAACUAAGUCGGACGUGAAAUCCCCAGGCUCAACCUGGGAACUGCGUCCGAUACUGGAUGGCUUGAAUUCGGGAGAGGGAUGCAGAAUUCCAGGUGUAGCGGUGAAAUGCGUAGAUAUCUGGAGGAAUACCGGUGGCGAAGGCGGCAUCCUGGACCGACAUUGACGCUGAUGAGCGAAAGCCAGGGGAGCAAACGGG
rnacentral:rRNA from 1 species